rnacentral:lncRNA from 1 species
UGUUAGCCCCACACUGCUUACUUAAGUCACCCAAGUUUUGUUAAUAUAAUCUAAAUGUUACUUCAUCUAUUGCCAAUUGAUUUUAGAUUGAAUCUCUCCCUUGAUCUUCUUUAAUAGUAAGAAUUGUUAAUGUGUAGAGUAGAUUGUAGGAAAAAUUUAUAGUAAACACCAUUUGUACCUAAUUGUGAUAUAUGUUAUAAUCGAUAUCGUGAAUAUUGUUAGGGGAAUGUAAGUUAAAAAUAGUAUAAAAUAAUUUAUUACACAUCAUAUACAUUAUUGGAGGGUAGCCGCUCCCUCUAUCGCAUUGUACAAGUUAUGUUUCUUAGCAGAGGCCAGUUCAUAAUGAUUUGUUUGUCUAGUCGCUGGGGUAAAUGAAAAAUUGCAGGCUUGGAAAAUUAUGGUAGUUGGAAAAUUUUGGCUAAAAAAAAAGAAGAGUAUUUUUAAUUCUUAUUUUGAAUGAUUAUUGAUUAUGAUUUUUGGGCAAUGGUUGCAAAAGGUAUGACCUUGCGACAAAUAAACCAUGGUUAGAACCUAGAGUGAAUUUGGGUAAGACCAAUGCUUUAACUAGUGGUUCAAGCGCCUCGUAAAAAAUUCGAGGUGUGAUGCUUGGCUUGCGAGGCCAUCACCAUCACGAGCCUCUAGUAUAACCAUUAUCUCCAGUUGAGACUCAAAAUAAUAUUUUUUAUUUAAGAAGUGACUUUAGAGCUUAUUAGUAUUCAUAAAAACUUCAACCACAAAUUUCUAAUUUUAUAUUCAAUUCUAAAAAUAAUAAUAAUAAAAAAACUAACUCGGUCCUCUCUCUCCAAAACUCCAUAAUUUCCUACUUUCCUUCAAAAUUUAAUUUUUUUGUUUUUAAAAAAUAUGUUUCCUUCAAAAUAACAUCAGAAUAUACCCUUUUUCGCCCGGGAAGAUUACAGGUAUGCAGUUGGUGCCGUUGUUUUAUUGCUAAAUUUGGAUUAAGGAUAAAGGAAAAGAUUUGUGACAAAAAAAUAAAUAAAUAAAGUUAAAUUUAAACUAUUGAAUUCGAUCAUUAACUUUUCUUUAUUUGUUCUAUCAAAUUUUUAAUGCAAACACGGUCACAUGAGAGCAUAAUCCUUUUCUCAUUAUUGAAUGAGUCUGCACUGUGUUGUGAACAAAGAGGAGUAUUAGGAAACACAGAUUUUAAAGGUGUGAAUUUAUAUUAGUGAAAGUCUUACAAUAUAAAAUUAAGAACAGCAUAGGUACAGUAGCCGACAUAAUUGAUGAAGCCAACCUGUGAUUGCAACUUUUCGGUUUUAUCUUAUCUCUUAUUAUUUUAGAAAAGUCAAUAGGCUGCCAAUGGUGAAAGCAAUGUUUUAACUCCCCGAAUUGAUCCAGUCCAGUGUCGACCAUCGAGCCGGUCGAUCGGUCGGAAAAACGGUCGCGGUCACCCGUCAAGUCGGUCACACUCAGUCACUCUCGGCGGUUGACCCGGUGACCCGUGAUUGAAACUGGGUCAUUGACAUCGCCGGUUUGCAUCACACACGGUUUUUAAAGAAAAAACAUAUAAUGUUUAAUUUUACAAAUUUUUAAGAUUUUAAAAUAUAAAAAUUAGGUCUAUAAAAAUAAAAAUAUUUUAUUACUAUUAAUAAAUAAAUUAAUGACAUAAUUACUAACGGUUGCCCGACGGGUGUGAACCGGUGAUAUCCCGUGAUUCGGCUAUUUGUUUCGUUCGCAAUCACUGAUCCAAUUUCAAACACUUGGGUAAAGGAAGAAAAGGAACAACUUGGAAAUCACAACAAUCACACACGCUCUUGACUUGGAAAUCACAACAAUCACACACGCUCUUGAAAAAGUCAUUGAACUUUAUCACCGUUCCUUUUUGAAAUGCUAUCUAUUUUUUUAAAAUUACUAUUACAGUCUCUUAUAGAAGCGAAAUGGCCGAAAAUAAUAAACCGAGACUAGAGAGGGAGAGGCGGUAAUUGAUACGAGCGAGUGUUGGGAGAUUGAGCAUGGAAAUUCUUAUUGGGGAUACUUUCCUCGCUGUUGUAGAUACUGCAUCGCUGACAAUCAUAUAAAUGGUUUUGGACUUUUUUUCUUAUUUUAGUGAGUGUUUUUUUAUUUUUUAACUUAUUUUUACAUGCAAUCUGAUCCAAUUUUCACAUAUUUGCCAAUCAUUUAAUUCAAGACUAUAAGAGUAUUUCUACAUAUUCACACGAAAAUGUCAAUAUUAUUGCUAUUUUUUUUGGCAUGUCACAACAGAUGUUAUAGUUUAUGAACGUUGAUUCAAAUAUCACUUCAGUUGCACUGUCAAAUCUUUUGCUAAAGGAUGAAAUACACUGUACAUCUCUGAGAUUUCAGAUUAAUACACAAAGCACUCCUGAUAUUUGAAAAAUGACAGUAACCUCUCUUAAAGUUUGAAACUUGUAACAAUUUUCCCCCAUUUUGCACUAAUCACCCCUGAGAUUUUGGGUUAAUACACAAAGCCCCGUGACGUCCUUCGUCUGUUAUCAGAUUGACUGUUCAUCCAUGACGUUAGUUGACGUAGUUGGAUAUCCAUUAAUGCCCUUUCUUUUUGACAAAUUACGAUAAUAUCCCACAAGAUGUUGAUUGACGACUAAAAAGUAACAUCUAUUCCAUUAACUGCUUUAAAUUAAAUAUCCUAUUUCUAAAAUACUAUUUUUUUAGUCAUUCAAUCACCAUUGUUGUGGAUAUAUAUAUUUUAUCAAAAAGAAGGGCAUAUAUGGUAUUUCAAUUACUAUUCAGUUAACGUCAAGGAUGUUUUGUGUAUUAACCCGGAACCUCAAGGGUGGUUAGCGUAAAAUGAGAGAAUCUAUUACAAAUUUCAAACCUCAGAGGAGGUUAUUGUCAUUUCUCAAACGUCAAGGGUACUUUCUGUAUUAACCUGAACAUCAAGGAUGGUCAGUGUAUUUCACCCUUUGCUAAAUUUGGAAGAAGACUUGGCAAUGCCAUUUGUUAAAAACCCUUUCACAAAGUUGUUGGAAUAACUUUCUUGAACGUAAUCGAUAUUGUAAGGGGACAAAUUACAUGAUGACGUAAUUUGGCCUUGUACCUCCGCCGAGUUAUUGCUAUAAAGUAAGUUUGGUGGAGUCUUGCGCUAUAGCUCGAUACAGAUACUACCAAAGACGAAUGUCGCCCGAGCUAAGGCCUUCGUUACGUUCGAGAUGCCGCUAUUUAGCAAGUUUGGAACAACAACUGCGCUGGAAGCUUGGGCGAGGGGCAACAGCUGGCUGCAUUACAAAUGGCUUACACGUCAAAGUACCUUCUGACAGCCCCCACGCUCAGAUGGAGAUAUCGACAGUUGAUCAUGAGCUACUAGCCAGAUCAUAGAGGCAUGGCUAGGUCAGCUGCCUAAUCACUGACACAACAAUCAGCGUGUACGAACACGUGCCGAGCCCCAGUUUGUCAAGUAACGGGACGAUCAGCGCGUCAUGCCACGCGCUGAACCAAGAUACAAAAGAAAACACCGUUAUCCUGAAGAAGGUAUGUGCAACCUUGCCCUGGGAAUACAUGGACAAUUACUUUCUCUCUCUAGAUAUCCGGACGUUUAACUUGACCGUCUGAGGGCCAUUUUUCGAAAACAUCUACGGCGGCCGUUCUCACUUUUCCUGUGUUUGUAGUUAGGACAUCGCUGAUCAACCAGACGAAGGGUUGGAAUUACUUACGCAAUCGUAGAACCACCGUGUUUUUUUUUUUUUUUUUGCAAAUUUAACCUUUGUUUUGUUGAAUAUUUCCUAUUCAUUUUAAGUCCAGAUUACCUUUCUUUUGAUGCAUCUGAGUCAGCUAUGAUCAUUCUUUUCCCAACUCAUUAAUUUGUAGUAUGUUGCUUUCAAUGGGUAUCUAAACAAAAAAAAAUAAAUAGGAAAAUUCUCAAAAAUAAGAAUAAAUUUUUUUGUAAGGGGAUAAAAUACCAAGUACAAGCUCUGGGCGAGUUAAUGCGAGAAUUGUCUCCGGGUUGCCGCUCUAUAUGACGUUCGGUUGGGUCUCUACGUUGGAGCUCGUUCGAGGCACAAUAGUCGGUGAGGAUACCAAGCGGUACAUCAGAGUUAAAGGUUAACUUGCACGCGCGAAGUUUUCUUUGACACCCAUACGCUUGGAUCUAGACACCGACAACAUGAAUGACUUAGCUACCAACUAUACCUUAGGGGUAUUUAAUCAUUGACAUAGCAGUCGACGUGUCUAGGCACGUGCUGAAGCUGCAGUAUGUCUAAUGACAUGAUAGUUGGUGUGUCUAGGUACGCGCCGAAUUGCACUAUAAAAGACCAUUUCAUUAUCAAAGUUACGUAAUUUCUGCUAUAAGAAGCUAUAAACUCCUCUCUAAAACACUUCCAAUCAUUAACUUAACUCUCGGAGAGUUGUUCUCGGAAUAGUUUCAGUGGCAUUUUCUCACUGUUUCUAUAUUGUAGUUUGGUCCAUAAACCUACAACCUUAUCAACCGCUGAUCCUUCUAAGUGUCUAUUUUCAAUUUCUCUCCUACAUUGUUUUGCCCCCCCCCCCCCACCCCCCCACCUCACCUCACACCUCACCUCACCUCACCACCACCCUCCCUUUGCAUUUUUCAUGUUUGCUUUUUCCACAAUAAUCCAUAGAACCCAAACAACUUAUUCAUCA